UACAGAGGUCUCAAGCGUUGUUCGGAUUCAUUGGGCGUAAAGGGGUGCGUAGGCGGCAGUGCAAGUCAGGUGUGAAAUCCCGGGGGCUCAACCCCCGGAACUGCACUUGAUACUGCUCUGCUAGAGUACUGGAGAGGAGACUGGAAUUUACGGUGAGCAGUGAAAUGCGUAGAGUAUCGAUGAGGAAGACCAGUGGCGAAGGCGGUCGUCUGGACAGUUCAC
rnacentral:rRNA from 1 species